CAAGUCGAACGCGAAACCUUCCUUCGGGAGGGGAGUAGAGUGGCGCACGGGUGAGUAACACGUAGGUAAUUUGCCUUUGGGUGGGGAAUAACUCAGGGAAACUUGAGCUAAUACCGCAUAAUGCAGCGGCUCGACAUCGAGACAGUUGUUAAAGCGGGGGAUUCUUCGGAACCUCGCGCCUGAAGAGAAGCCUGCGGCAGAUUAGCUAGUUGGUAGGGUAAUGGCCUACCAAGGCGACGAUCUGUAACCGGCCUGAGAGGGCGGUCGGUCACACUGACACUGACAUACGGGUCAGACUCCUACGGGAGGCAGCAGUCGGGAAUUUUGGGCAAUGGGCGAAAGCCUGACCCAGCAACGCCGCGUGAAGGAUGAAAUUUUUCGGAAUGUAAACUUCGCAAGAACGGGAAGAAUAAGUAGAAGCUAAUACCUUCUAUGAUGACGGUACCGUUUGUAAGCUCCGGCUAACUCCGUGCCAGCAGCCGCGGUAAUACGGGGGGAGCAAGCGUUGUUCGGAUUUACUGGGCGUAAAGGGCGCGUAGGCGGUCGUGACAAGUCACUUGUGAGAUCUCCGGGCUUAACUCGGAACGGUCAAGUGAUACUGUCGGACUAGAGUACAGAAGGGGCAACUGGAAUUCUCGGUGUAGCGGUGAAAUGCGUAGAUAUCGAGAGGAACACCUGCGGCGAAGGCGGGUUGCUGGGCUGAUACUGACGCUGAGGCGCGAAAGCCAGGGGAGCGAACGGGAUUAGAUACCCCGGUAGUCCUGGCCUUAAACGAUGAAUGCUUGGUGUCUCGGGUUAUAAAGUCCCGGGGUGCCGUCGCUAACGCUUUUA
rnacentral:rRNA from 1 species